rnacentral:rRNA from 1 species
CGGCAACAGCUCAAAUUUGAAAUCUGGCCCUCGGGUCCGAAUUGUAAUUUGUAGAGGAUGCUUUUGGUGAGGUACCUUCCGAGUUCCCUGGAAUGGGACGCCAUAGAGGGUGAGAGCCCCGUAUAGUCGUGCACCAGGCCGUUGUAAAGCACCUUCGA